ACUCCAGUUCGAAGGGAAAGUACCAGAGUCGGCCGCUCGCCUUCCCAAAGCUCCUCGUGCUCGCGCUUCUCCUCCUCCUCCCUCGCUGUCGAUCUCGACGCGGAUCUCUAGCUCUCUCCUUCCGCGUGUUUGACGGUCUCUGGCAGGCCCCGAUGGACGAUAGCUGUGCGGUUUGCGCCGAUCCCCUCGAGUGGGUUGCCUACGGGCCAUGUGGCCACCGGGAGGUCUGCUCCACCUGUGUCGUGCGCCUCCGAUUCGUGCUCGGCGAUCGCCGUUGUUGUAUCUGCAAGACCGAGUGCCCAAUUAUCUUUGUCACCAAGGCUCUUGGAGAUUAUACUAGAGUGGUAGCUGACUUUUCAGUUUUCUUAACUGGAGCAACUGAAGGGAAAACUGGACAAUAUUGGUACCAUGAAGACACGCAAGCUUACUUUGACGAUGCUGACCAUUACAAGAUGAUAAAAGCAAUGUGUCGGCUUUCCUGUAGCAUCUGUGACAAUAAUUCUGAGAGUCAAGGUGGCGAGAGCACAAAGAGGAGGACAAGAUUUAGGAGCAUAGAACAAUUAAAUGGUCAUUUGAGGCAUCAGCACAACUUAUUCAUGUGCAAUCUAUGCUUGGAAGGAAGAAAGGUAUUUAUUUGCGAACAAAAGCUAUACACAAGAUCACAACUAAAUCAACACAAGAGCACUGGGGACUCUGAGGUAGAUGGCACUGAGAGUGAACGCGGUGGGUUUAUGGGGCACCCCAUGUGCGAGUUUUGCAGAAAUCGAUUCUAUGGAGAUAAUGAACUUUAUCUGCACAUGUCAACAGAACACUAUACCUGCCAUAUAUGUCAACGACAACAUCCAGGACAAUAUGAUUAUUUCAGAGAUUAUAAUGACUUGGAGAUGCAUUUCCGCCAGGAGCAUUUCCUCUGUGAAAAUGAGGCAUGUUUAGAAAAGAAGUUCAUUGUUUUUCAAACUGAAGCAGAGAUGAAGAGGCAUAAUGCUCUUGAGCAUGGGGGGAACAUGUCGCGUUCAAUGCGAAAUGCAGCACUUAGAAUACCAACAAGCUUCAGGUAUCGGAGGAAUGAACAAGAGCAGCGCCGAGGAAGAGGUCGUGGAUUCCGCCAAAAUUCUUCUGGUGAUCAGCUGGCUAUGGCAAUACAAGCUAGCCUUGAAACAGCAGCAGAUGCUGAUGGUAGAUUUCAGGAUUCUUCUUUUGGUGCUCAUUCAGACAGUGAGAAUAGGAGGAUGAGGCGUGUCGAUACAGGUACUGGUUCAUCAGAGGUCUCAACUGUCCAUGAAGGUCAAGAAGGACCUUUGAACCAAAGCACUAGGACAACUCCGAUACUAGAAGAAUCCUCCUUCCCUCCUCUUUCUGAUAGAGAACUACCAGAGCCAUCUUCUAGAUAUGCUCAGGCUCUUAGUCAAAGUUCCAGAAAUCCGGCCAAACUCGGGGAAGAAUCAUUUCCUCCUCUACCUGGUGUGACUAAUAAGGCUAAGCCUACUCAUGGAUCAGAAGGUUUGUCCACAAAUACCCUUGCUGCCCGCCUCCAACGGAAGAGAGACUCUGUUGUGAUUAACUCUGCUCCAGCAAGGCCACUAGAGUAUCAUGAGAUGUUCCCAUCUGCUUCUCAAUUGAGGACCACUCCAAAUCAUGGCAUCACAGCAUCAACUUUCUCAAGUUCUCAACCACGAGCCCCUACAAGAGAAAACCUAUUUAUAUCACCUUCACCUGCUAGUUCUUCUGUUAAUUCAGACGCUGCUAAUAGGAUGAAGCAUUCAGCAUCAGUUCCCAACCUAACCUCUGGGACUUUUUCAAGCCAAGUUGUUCCUAUUGUCAAGAGAGAGGAAUCAUCAACUUCAAGCAACCAAUCUCAUACUUCCACAAAUGAUGUUUAUGCUGUUAACAAAUCCAUGGUAGAACAGAUUCGAGCUAGCUUAGGUAUGGACGAGGAUAAAUAUAGUGCAUUCAAAAGCAUAUCAUUAGAGUAUCGUCAAGAUCUGAUCAAUACAUUGGAGUAUCUUUCUUAUGUUGAGCAAUUUGGCCUGUCACAUCUUGUUCUUGAACUUGCUCAUCUCUGUCCCGAUGCUCGGAAGCAGAAGGAAUUAAUUGAUGCUUAUAAUCUGAAUUUACGGAACAAAACUCUGCAAGAAAAUGCCGGCAUUAGUGAUGGCAGAAAAGGCAAGGGAAAAACUUCUGCCCGAGCUAAAAGUAAGGCUAAUAAUACAUUAUCUGAUAACUUUUUGGACACAGUAAAGAAGUUACAAUUGAAUCAGAAGGCUCAAGAAGAAGAGGUACUUCAUAAGGAUGGCUACCACGCUUCUAAGGAUCAACCUCGUUCAUCAGGAGCCGCCAACUCUGGCGCAAUUGAUGUGAAUUUCAUCGAAACUAGUGUCGACAGGGAACCACAAUCUGUUACGGUCAUGACAAAGCAGAAUUUGGCUGAUGGUGGGAGCAGUAAGCAACGCAAGAAGACAUCAAAGUUUAAUAGGAUACGCCUGGGCGAUGGUUCAGCAGCUGCACUUUUUGAUCCUUCUCGCAGGGAUGCUAUUCCUGAACCACAAGAGAACGGAAAUGCUGAUGGUUCUUCUGAAACCCAACCAGUCCGGGGUGUUUGGCGAAGUGGUGGCGCACAAAGACUUUUUGCUAACUCUAGUAAGAAUGCCUGAAGGCAUCAUUUAUGUUUUGACCGUCCUCGCAGGGUUGAUUUGAUGAUCUAAAUGCAUCAGGUUCGUCAACAAAGUUGAAAUCUUUGAUGGAUCCGGACAAGACGAUCGAUUUAAGCAGAGAAUUACACAGACGAAGCUUGGAGACGCAGAAGAAACAGAGCAUUUACAGUUUAAGCUUUUGUGGAUGCCAAUAUGGCAUAUAGCAAAU